CGCUCCAAUCUGUCAACAGCUAAUCAAGAAAUAAAUAAAGAAAAUAUAAUAUAUAAAAAAUUGAAAUUGUUGAAAUUCUAACCUCACCCCAAAUUAGACCAAAAUCAAAACGGUAUCUCUCUUCUUCUUCUCUCUUCAACGACCAAACCCUAAGACACCUCUUUUGUUUCUCUUUAAUUCUCUUGGCGAUGAUUUAGCUUGAGGUUUCUCUUCAGACCCGAUCCACCUCUGGUUUUCAUAUGUUUGCUGUUGCGGAAUACAUUGCCAUUUCUCCUGUAUUUUAAGAUAUCAUGCAGAGGAGAAAAAUAACUGAUUUGAGGGUUGUUCGAGCUUCUGAAGACCAUGAAGAAAGAAAUAAUGAGGAAUUGAAUGCACUUGAGUCUUCUGAAGUUCCUGAAACUGUUGAAGAAGUAUAAAUCCAAGUUGAAAAUGCUGGAACGCGCAAGACUCGAGGACAUAC